UAUGACCACCAUGUUCUGAAGGAUGCCCACAAAGCUGAGGGAAAGGGGAGCCCAUUCAAGUUAAGGAGACGCCAAUCAGGCGAAUGGGAUGGGGCUUGACAAGAUUCUCAGAACGUGGUUGAAGGGUCUGCAAGACCCUUGAGUCUUAUUGAUGAAAGAAUAAAAUCCAUGGGACCUUAACUGGAGGGCCCAAACGUCACUAUAUCCAUGAAAACCGAGCCUUCCACGGAUCUUGGAGAGAAGUGAUUCAGGUGAUAAUCGUGUGAAAUCAACGUGAAUGAUUUCCCUAACGGCUCUACUGUCCCCUGUGCAAAUCAUGGCUUUUCGUUUUUGUGCCACAUCUACCAAAUAUUUGGGGAUGGAGUGAGAGUCAAGUGGUGGCGGAGAGGAUGGGGGAAGAGCCUUUCUAAUAUCUCGGAAGAAGAAAAUAGUAAGUAUCAGAAACACGCUAAUACUCUAAAGAUCAGCUAUAGAACCAGCUAGAGGGAUUGUGAAACUCAGAGUAUGAGAGAAAACGUAGUGUAAUUGUUGAAAACCUGGACUCUGGAACUCAAUAGCCGAGUUUUCACUCCAGUUCUGUCCUUAAUUAGCAGAUGCUCUUGGGCAUCUGCAUUAAUCUUCUGUGCCUCAAUUUUUUCAUCUGUAAAUAGGGGUGUCAGCACCUAUUUCAUAGGAUUCCUAUGAGAACAACUAAGUUAGUUCAUGUCAAGCAUACAAUGCAGUAUCUGGCAUAUAGUAAUUAAUCAAUAAAUAUUAACUAUUGUUAUUAAUCCUACA
rnacentral:lncRNA from 1 species